GGAGGGGUGUGGGCAGCAUGAGGAGAGGCUGAGGGGUGCUGAGGUGCUAAGAGGGAGCAGGUUGCUGGUGGGCCGGGAGCAGGGGCCCACGCAGCUCUCGAUUAAGUGCACUUGGAUUCCCAGGAAAGGCGGAAAGUGAAAGGGCAAUCGCUGGCAGGCUGAGUCAUUCCAUCCAGCAAACAAUCGGAAGCAAUUCUGCUUCCCACUGCUCUGGAGGAAUCAAAAGCUACUCUGUGGCAGCCUUUUGUGUGCAGGUCCCCCCAGCGCUCAGCCUUCAGUGGCUGGCGGAGCCUCCCUCCAUUCCGGUGGGCAGCUUGUGUCUUGGCUGCAUUGAUUGACAGUUCUCCGCAGGAAUAAGAUUACCCGCCAAUCCUGACCUGCCCUUCCCCCUUCCAAAAAUAAAUCCCCAGUUGCAAGCAAAGCUCAUGCAAAUUCAACCUGCUGCUGCCGCUGCUCCCCGUGAGAGAGCAGAAGGCAGGCUCCACAUUCAUGACUCGGUACCCCUGGGCACCAGGGCCUUGCGGAUGAAGGGAGCCACUUCUAAAGAGCCGUGACUGGGAUCUAAAUGAGGGAGUAGGUGAGAUCUCCAGAGGAGGGCUGGGUGUCUGACUGGACUUCUUCCCCUCUCACCUGGACAGAUAAGGAACCCGGGUCUAAUUAGGACCCUGGAGGCCAGAAUGUCCAGGGUCCUGCUGCACGUCCCUGAAGAUGAUCCAGCUGUGAACCCGGGUCCACAUGACGAUCCUCUGCACUCCAGCCCAGGCUCCUGGGACAGAGGAAAAUACUCCAGGUGCCUGAAGCCCGCCCUGCCAGCACGGUCAGGAGUCUCAGGCCGUCUGCAGCAGGAGAACUUGGCCCCCCGUCACAGAAUGACAGAAGUGAGAAAAGCUCACCAGUGAUGCCCACCACUCCUCCAUUAGAGGCCACAGACCCAAAGAGGGUCUGGGGACUUGUUGGAGGCCACACAGCAAGCAAGAGCAGAGUGGGGGCUGCGAACAUGGCCCCUGGCUCCCUCCCUGGUGCUUCCCACUUUCUUUAACAGUGGAGCAGGGAGGAAGAAGGGCGGGUGGGAUAUCAUGCCAUGCUGACAGGCUCUGAUUUAAAAAUACUCAGAUCAGACGGGAGAUGAAGCCAAGGGCCCAUCUGCACGCCAGUCACCUGGGACUCCCAGUGUCAAUGCCAGCUGUGGCCAGGUGAUGACUUUCUAUAAACAACUGGAGCUCUUAAGCUUGGCUGGUGCUAGAGUGUGACAAGGGACAGAGGCAGAAAGGAGCAAAAGUCCUCUGUGGCCUACAAGACCCCAGGGAGGGCUUGGCUUAAGGUAGGGAAUGGGGAGAACUGGAGCAGGUGGACGGUGUGGGAGAGAGUCUGGAGCAGGAUACAAGCUGGGUCUCAAUGAGGCUCUGCUUCUCUUUGCCUUCACCUCGCCCCAACAUGGCUCCCUGUUCACACCCACCGAGUGGGUCCUGUGUGUGUGUGUGUGUGUGUGUGCGGUGGGGCAGGGGCCUGGUGCCUGAGACUGUAGAACUCAGAAAGAGACUGGAGUUGGGGAAGCCCUGGAAGAGGGGACAGCUCAGACUCCUAACUCUGAAAAUGACCUAGGCUGGUCCCUCAGGGCAGGUGGCUCUGGGUACUGGUGCUGUCCUGUACCUGAGUGUGUUUUGGUGUGCUACACAGCCUGGGCCUGUCUGUGCAUGACCCAGGAAGCCAGCAGCCAUUCCUGACAAGUCUCCACCUGUCCCGAGUCAAACCUCUCCAGGUGCCAUUUGAUGUGCUUGGCUGGGGAAUGUGACUUCUGUGUCACCUCUUCCUCUCCCUGGGGGCUUAGUGAUCCAGAGCCUCACAAGAAGCAAAGGGGCCUUGGAGCCCCUGUGGAGCAUCCAGUUGGCCACUCCUCUGCAGUCCCACAGCCUGCCACCCCCACACCCCCAACGGUGAGGAUCAUUAACCUUUUCUCAGAACCCCAAGGUGCCAGCAGAUUGGUCCCCAGCUACCAAGUAUCUGAUUUUGUCCCUUCCACCUCUGUGAACCCUCCUGCUCAGUGUUACAGCCCACAGGGACAGAGGUACAUAAAGAGGCUCUGAGGAGCUGGGACGCAGGGUCCCUUGGGCUUCACUUCAGGACCUCCUUGCACUUGGGCCCUGUGGACAUGGCCGGCUGGCAUGUCCCCAACAUGCCACCUUCCGUCUCAGUAAGUUUCCACAGGCCCUUCCCUCUGUGAGGCUGCUUCUCAGGUGCAGGGGAAAGUGGAGAAGCCUCCCUCCCUGCCCCUCGCCUCCCUUGACUGACUGAAGAAAGCAAUGCCGGCUAAGAACUCCAAUCCAAGCAUACCAACUUCCAUCGCUGGGGUCUGGGGAGGGCAGCCGGGCACUGCGGGACUGCCCCCCUACAGCUCAGAGCAGAGGCCUCUGAGGCUGGCUGAAGUUCAGGAACCACUGUUCUCGCAUUUUCUUUAUACCUCUGCCCCAUGCCCGUCACAGCAUUGCUGGAAUUACCAUUGCUGGCUCCUUGAGGACAGGGACUUGUCUUGCAGUCCCAGGAAAUGUGUCAGCCUUGUGAAUUAGACUCAGAUGUGCAUUUUAAUUAGAUGUCAUGUGAAUAAUUCCUCACCUCCCACUCACUCCCAUCUUCUCUACCCUUCCAUCCACCCAGGCCCCAGGGGGAAUCUUAUCUGCCCUCAGUACAAAAAGAAAAUUGUCCUCCUCUCUCUCACUUAUCUCCUCCUCUCCUUCCUUCCUUCUUCCCAGGUAGCCAUUGGGGGCUCGUGGAACUGAGAGCGAGGAUGGAAUAGGGUCUCGUGGAGUGAAAGGAAGCUCCGGGUGUAUGUCAGGGCUUGGGCGAGCAGAGUAGUGGGAGGGCGUGUGUGAGAUAUUGAUCCCUGCUCCAAUGUUGCCAAGACUUCAAAAGCCUUCUAGGUGUUUCCUGGGUUGCACUGUCCUCUCAAAAUACAAAAACAGACUGAGGGAGUCUAGCCUGAACCCCCUCGCACACAGACUCCUUCAAGGACACCCUGAGCCCUUCAUGGGCUCCCUUUGGGAUGGUCCCUUCCCGGGGGAUGCUGAGAGCCACUGCCGAGUCUGUAUGGCCCCUGGCAUUUUGCCAACAGUAUUGAUUGACAGGCGAGGCAUUACUAUCCGCCUCUGCCCCGACUUUUGAGUUCUCGCACUAUUUUGGAGUUCUCGUGGGGAUUUCCAGGGAUUCCCCGAGAGUUCCCAUUGGUUGGGGAAGUGCAGGAGGAGGGAUUUCCGGGAGAGAUAUUUCCGGCUGGGGGUUCCUGGACAAGCCUCGUGGCGUUAGGGAGGAUUCCCCGGGAGCUGUGUGAAGUGUUUUCCUGCAGUUUAAAAAUAAAGUUUGUUCCUGCUUCAGUGGCUCGUGACUUGUGCCCAGCCAGACUGCGGCGGGGGGGGCACAGGCCUGUGGAAAUAGAACUGGAAAUGGAGGGUGACCGUGGCCAAAGAGACAUACAUGCCGCAGAAGCACGGUACUGAGCCAACGUGCCAGACAGACCAGCUUCUGUCUGUACUCAGCCAAGGCCAGUGAUUUGCAGCACAAGAUUUCCAGGAACACAGAAGCAUGGCGAUCACUAGGGAUAUAUACAAUCCAGGUGUCCUCCCUCCUUCCUUCCUUCCUUCCUUCCUUCCUUCCUUCCUUCCUUCCUUCCUUCCUUCCUUCUAGAUGUCUUUUAAGAGUGAAAGGGGUGCUAGUGUUAAUUACACUAGGACAACAGGCACAAGCUGGGAUGUAAGGUCACUUCACCAUGUGUAUCCUGGAUCAGCCAUAUUUCUCCCAUGUGGUCUAGGCCAGGGGUACAGAUGUAGGAGGAAGGUGGGGUGUCUCCUGGCCCCUGGUCCCUCCCCACAACCUCUUAGCCCUCUUUCAACUCAAGAAGCCAGGAAGCAACUGGGUCGUCAGGAGCUCCAGCUAAAUGGGCCUUUGGCCAGGUACUUUACCUACAGUGACUCUGCUGUAACUCCACGUGCCUUCACACUGGGCCCUCAGCUCAUCUUUCCUCAUGAUAACCCUGGGCAAGUAUUAAAAGCUCCAUCUGAGAGGGGGCCACAGUUGUCAGAGCUGAUUCUGGAACCCAGGACUUCUGACUCACAGGCCAGAGUUCCUCCUUCCCCACAUGUACCCUCGUCAUGGGGCAGGAAAGAUGGCAGCUGGGGUUGUGGCUUGGAUUGAUGGGCGGGUACCCCACCUCUCAGUUGCCACCUCCCAGGACCUAUGCCAGCGGUAGUUCUGAUGGUAGAGAAAUCUGUCACUGGAGGGGUGAACUUCUGGGAGCAUCUGUGCAUUGAUAAAAUAUCCCAAGCAUUCAUUGAAUAUCUUACUUUGCACAGUCACCAUCAGAGCCCUAAAGAUGUGGCAGCAAGCAGAGUCUGCCCUUAAAGGUGUGUAAAGUCAUGUUAGAAAAUGACAAAUUUAGGGGGAAAGAUGGUGGAAGGAGAUGGACAUUAUUAUCCCUCUGUAUGGGUAUGGUGUGACUCUACAUCAUGUACAACCAGAGAAAUGAGAAGUUGUGCUCCAUUUCUGUAAAAAAUAAAAUUAAUUAAAAAAAAAAUAAAAGAAAAAAAAUGGCAUAUUUUGCUUGGCACUUAAGGUCCCAUACAAUUGAAGCCCAGUCUUUCUUCAAACCUCAUCUCCCACGAUUCUGAGCUAUACCAACUAUGCCUGCCUCCCAACCAAUGCACACAGUUUACAAGGUCACGGACGCUUGCUAUCAGGUUGCAUUGAACAUCUGGUGUGACCUCCUGGCUGGCUGAUUCUAGACCCUGACUGGCUGGUGUCUCUGACCACCCUCGGGGGCUGUGCCCUUUCCCUCCUCAGAAUCUUUACUCCUGCAGCUUUCUCCCCUCUGGGGUCCACCUCCUCCCUUCCAGAUCCAGCCCUGGCUGGUUUCUCAGGCUUUGUAGACUUCCUGUAGUUAUGCAGGAUUUAGUCACCUAGUCUGGUUCACUAUCAACCAGACAGUAAAUUCUCUUGGACCCUAAAUCCUGAUGGGCAUGGAAAAGCACUGUGAUCUCCUAGCUAGCAGAUACUUCCACUGCUCCUUUUAGCCUUUCUCAAGUCCUGUGUGUCAAACCUCUGCUAUUCCGUAGGCCUCACCCACUGUGCUGCCUCUCUCCCUGCAGAUAGAUGGCUUCAUCUUUGCAAUUCAGGGACAGGGAGAGUGGCUGCGCGGAAUUUCAUCUCAUUCCCUCAACUCAUAAACCUGCCACUGAAGCGCUUUCUGGCUCCCUUGUGUCUGUCACCAUGAAACAGAAGUCUGUCUUCUUAUCAGGCUAAUCCUUCUAGCGUGGGAGGACUCCCAUCACCUCCAACCUUCUCAGGGGGUUUGCUCCAAGGAUUUUGUGUUCUCUUCCUUGAAGUUCUUCAAGUUCUUGCUUUCUGGUUAAUAGGUACAAGUGCCCCCAUUCCAAACAACAGGAGGGGCUGGCGAUGUAGCUCAGUGAUAGAACACUUACCUGGCCAAGGACAAGGCCCUGGGUUCAAUCCCCAGCACUGCAAAACCAAAACCAAAUCCAAAACCUAAAAAGCAACCCACAAGCUUCUGAGCUCCAUUUUCCCCUCCAGGAACUGUCUUUCCUGUUCAUGGCCAAGGUUCUGGAGAGAACAGGCUAUAUAUACUCACAUUGCUGCUUGCUCAUGUCCCACCCCCUCUUCAAUCCAUAGCAGCCUGGCUUCUGUCACUAUCUUUCACUGGAACUAGUUUCCAGGGCUGUGAAGUCCAAUAGAUCUUUUCGAUCUAGAUGGUCCCAACUUAGAAUGGUUUGACUUAACUGUGGCUCAAUUUACAAGUUUUUGACUUUACGAUGGUGCAAAGUAAUCGACAUUUAGUAAAAACCAUAGUUUGCCUUUUGCAUUUUGAUCUUUUCCCAGCCUAGCUACAUGAAGUCCAAUACUCUCCUGAGAUGCUGGGCAGUGGCAGGAGGCCACACCUCCCAGGCAGCCACCAUAGCAGAGGGAGACCACCAGCGUUAAAUGCCUUCUUGACCUUCAACAUCGUAAACACAGGGUUUCCUUCAGUCACAGAGGCUAGCCUUAAACUUGCCAUCCUCCUGCCUCCGCCUCCUGAGAAGCUGGGAUUGUAGGUGGAUGCCACCGUGCCUGGCAGAAUUCGUCAUUCUUUCUUUCUUGCCAUAACCAAUUGUAUUAGUCAGGGUUCUUCAGAGGAACAGAACCAACAGUGUGUGUGUAUGUGUGUGUGUGUGUGUGUGUGUGUGUGUGUGUCUCAUUCAGGGAGGGCCUUUCCAGUUUGCUGAUCCACACACAAAUUGUCUCUGGAAACACCCUCAAAAAUAGGCAGAAGUAGGCUUUACCAAUUUUCUCGGUGUCUCUCAAUCCAGUCAAAUUGACAACCAAGAUUAAACAUCACCCCCCUCUUCCCCCAAGGUGCCCUUCCUCCUGGGUUCCCAGGCAGCAAGUCAGAAUCCUGACCCCAAGAAUGCCAGCCAGGCCUGAAGCCCCGAGACCAGGCCCUCACCCCUACCUCUGACCCAUGACCAAAUUCUGUCUCAUUACGGAUUUUCUUCAAAACCACUGUUUCCCUCCAACUCCCCCACCGCCGAGUCCCCACUGCCAUCAUAUUCUCUGGGGAUAUUCGUGGGACUGCUCUUCACUCUUUUCCAAGUUCUCCCAAGGAUUCCCUGUUGCUCAGAGAGUAAAGUCUAAGUUUCCUAACCAGUUCAAGGCCUUCACAACCAGGACUUGAUGGCUGAACCAUCAGGGCCUAUGACACCAAGGCUUCCCUCCCUCUCUGCCCCUCCUCUCGGUGACCAGAGCUCUGCACAUCCCCCAUUUCCUCCUGCGCCUCUCCCCAGGUUUUCUAUGCUACUCCCACACCUGAAGCCCAGGAGGACUCAGACAGCACUUCCAGCUGGAGGCCUCGCCGUGUCCCUGCAGGCUUCUGGGCUCAUUCACAUGUCAGCAUUAAUCACACUGCCACCCAGAGUCUCUUUCUUCCUAUCUUUUUCCUGAAGGACCAUCAAACUGUGAUUUACCCAACCAUGAGCUUUAGCACAGUACCUGGCCCAAGGCUUUAUCUGUUUAUUGACUGAAUGGAUAAAUAUGUGUUUAAUAAUCAAAGCAGUAUGGAGAUUCCUUAGAAAACUUGGAAUGGAACCACCAUUUGACCCUGCUAUCCCACUCCUAGGUCUAUACUCCAGGGACUUAAAAACAGCAUAUUACAGGGACACAGCCACAUCAAUGUUUAUAGCAGCUCAAUUCACAAUAGCUAAACUGUGAAACCAACUUAGAUGUCCUCCAAUAGAUGAAUGGAUAAAUAAUCUGUGUUACAUAUAUACAAUGGAAUAUUACUCAGCAUUAAAAGAGAAUAAAAUUAUGGCAUUUGAAGACAAACAGAUGGAGCUGGAGAAUAUCAUGCUAAGCUAAAUAAGCCAAUCCCCAAAAGCCAAAGGCCAAAUAUUCUCUCCGAUAUAUGGAUGCUGAUCCAUAAUGGGGACAGGGGAGGUAUGGGGAAAAUGGAGGAACUUUGAUGGGGCAAAGAGGAGGGAGGGUCCAUGGGGGCAGGAAAGAUGGUGGAAGGAGUGGGACAUCAUUACCCUAGGUACAUGUGUGACUGCACAUAUGGUGUGACGCUACAUCAGGUACAACCAGAGAAGUGAAAAGUUGUGCUGCAAUUGUGUACAAUGAAUCAAAAUGCAUUCUGCUGCUUUAUAUACCUAAUUAAAAUAAAUGAAUUAAUAAAAAAAUCAUUCUGUCUUAUGCUACACGGUUUCUAUGAACUACCUGCCCUAACUACAGCACCACAACACUCUACACAGCAGGGGUUUGUCAACCUCUCAUCCCUGAUCCCACCCUUGGGUACCUUGGAAUACCCUGGGGAGCCCCAGCACAG